GGGGAAGGUUCUCUUGAUUGUUAACUUGCUUCCCAGGGGUAUUCAUUUCGUCCCUUUUCUUUUUCGUGCUUAAAGGGAAGAGAUUGAGGGGUUGCUUUCUCCCCUCCUUCAAAGACAAAAUAAUGUUCUUUGACUCCCCCAUUUUUAAGUGAACUUCUUUCAUUGAUAAUUAGAAUUAUCAAAUUGAUGCGAAACAACGUUUUGAGGAAAAAAUGAUUCAUUAAAUGUGAAGUGGCAAAGGCAAACCCACUUGUGGUAGCCAAUGGAUCCUUUUCCACAGCUCAUGUUUGUGAUUAUGAGUUUAUGACUCUGAUUACUUGUUAUCCAUUUUGUUGAAGCAGUGGCUUGACCAAUUCGAACUACGCUGAGCUGACUAAGUUAUACCAGAAAUACAAGGAUCAGGGUUUUUGUUAAUAAUUCUCAUCUAUGGCGUUAAUGUUUUGCCAUAUUCAUCAUGAUCUUUCUUUCUGGGAACUUCUGUACUCCCAUAUACCAUAGUGGUUGGGCUACCAUGUUGGGAGCACAUGUACUAUCCUUUUGGCUUCUUAAUGCUUCUUUGUGUAGUUCAAGGGGGAUAUAAAAUUGCUUGAGCAUGGUCGAUAAUUCCUGAGCAAUUGUCAUUUUGCUAAUAUGAACCCUCUUUUAUGUUAUUACUUGUUCUUUUACUAAUGCAGGUUUGGAGAUUCUGGCUUUUCC
rnacentral:misc_RNA from 1 species